AACCCCUAUUGUAGUUGCCAUCAUUCAGUUGGGCACUCUAGCGAGACUGCCGGUAAUAAACCGGAGGAAGGUGGGGAUGACGUCAAAUCAUCAUGCCCCUUAUGACCUGGGCUACACACGUGCUACAAUGGUUGGUACAACGAGUUGCGAGUCGGUGACGGCGAGCUAAUCUCUUAAAGCCAAUCUCAGUUCGGAUUGUAGGCUGCAACUCGCCUACAUGAAGUCGGAAUCGCUAGUAAUCGCGGAUCAGCACGCCGCGGUGAAUACGUUCCCGGGCCUU
rnacentral:rRNA from 1 species